UUGAUCCUGGCUCAGGAUGAACGCUGGCGGUGUGCUUUAUGCAUGCAAGUCGAACGAUGAAGCAGAGCUUGCUCUGUGAAUUAGUGGCAAACGGGUGAGUACAAGAUAGGCAACCUACCUCGAAGACGGGAAUAUACGGCAGAAAUGCCGGGCAAUAACCGAUAAUGUCUCUUCCUUCAAGGGUUGAGAAGAAAGGUGCAAACCGCUUUGAGACGGGCUUAUCUCCUAUCACGGCAGUUGGUAAGGUAACGGCUUACCAAACCUACGACGGGUAGCUGGUCUGAGAGGACGGUCAGCCACAUUGGGACUGAGACACGGCCCAGACUCCUACGGGAGGCAGCAGCCGGGAAUAUUCGGCAAUGGGCGAAAGCCUGACCGAGCGACACCGCGUGAGCGACGAAGGCCUUCGGGUCGUAAAGCUCUUUUAUUUGGGAAGAAUGCAUAGUAAUAUGUUUGACGGUACCAUUUGAAUAAGCCCCAGCUAACUACGUGCCAGCAGCUGCGGUAAUACGUAGGGGGCAAGCGUUAUCCGGAAUCACUGGGCGUAAAGGGUCCGCAGGUGUCCCGUUAAGUUAGAUGUUAAAUCGCAAGGCUCAACCUUGCGGCUGCAUCUAAUACUGACAGGAUAGAGGAUAGGUGACGGAAGUGGAAUUCCUGGUGGAGAGGUAAAAUCCGUAGAUAUCAGGAGGAACACCCGUGGCGUAGGCGGCUUCCGAACCUAUUCCUGACACUCAGGGACGAAAGCUAGGGGAGCAAACAGGAUUAGAUACCCUGGUAGUCCUAGCUGUAAACGAUGAAUACUAGAUAGUGGGUGCUACACCGUACUCACCGUCGUAGCUAACGCGUUAAGUAUUUCGCCUGGGAACUACGAUCGCAAGUNUGAAACUCAAAGGAAUUGACGGGUCCCCGCACAAGCAGCGAGGCAUGUGGCUUAAUUCGAUGCACACGAAGAACCUUACCUGGACUUGACAUGUCUCUGAAA
rnacentral:rRNA from 1 species